rnacentral:rRNA from 1 species
AACGAACGCUGGCGGCAUGCCUAACACAUGCAAGUCGAACGAAGCCUUCGGGCUUAGUGGCGCACGGGUGCGUAACGCGUGGGAAUCUGCCCCCUCGGUUCGGAAUAACAGUUAGAAAUGACUGCUAAUACCGGAUGAUGACGAAAGUCCAAAGAUUUAUCGCCGAGGGAUGAGCCCGCGUAGGAUUAGCUUGUUGGUGGGGUAAUGGCCCACCAAGGCGACGAUCCUUAGCUGGUCUGAGAGGAUGAUCAGCCACACUGGGACUGAGACACGGCCCAGACUCCUACGGGAGGCAGCAGUGGGGAAUAUUGGACAAUGGGCGAAAGCCUGAUCCAGCAAUGCCGCGUGAGUGAUGAAGGCCUUAGGGUUGUAAAGCUCUUUUACCAGGGAUGAUAAUGACAGUACCUGGAGAAUAAGCUCCGGCUAACUCCGUG